rnacentral:misc_RNA from 1 species
AACUCUCAACCCCCUUGUUUUGUAAUGAAGCAGGCGUGGGCUUGGAUUAUGGCUGUCUGCUGGACUCUUUAAGUAGAGAUCGGCUCGGCUGAAAUACACGAGUAACCCAGUUUGAAUAUUAACGGCUUGACUCGGCGUAAUAGCUUUAUUUCGCUGAGGACGUUUCAUAUCAAGAUAGUGGUGCUUCUAAUGCGUUGUAGCGUCAGCUGCACACACCUUUAAGC